rfam:Ichthyophthirius multifiliis unplaced genomic scaffold scaff_1120509250146, whole genome shotgun sequence.
GCCUUUAUAGCUCAGUCGGGAGAGCGCAAGACUGAAGAUCUUGCGGUCCUCGGUUCGAUCCCGAGUGAAGGCA